GUGCCAGCAGCCGCGGUAAUACGUAGGUGGCAAGCGUUGUCCGGAUUUACUGGGCGUAAAGCGUGUGUAGGCGGACCUUUAAGUAGAAAGUGAAAGGUAGGAGCUCAACUCCUACAUUGCUCUCUAUACUGGAGGUCUUGAGUGUCGGAGAGGAAGAUGGAACUGCACGUGUAGCGGUGAAAUGCGUUGAGAUGUGCAGGAACACCAAUGGCGAAGGCAAUCUUCUGGACGAAAACUGACGCUGAGACACGAAAGCCAAGGUAGCAAACAGGAUUAGAUACCCCCGUAGUCC
rnacentral:rRNA from 1 species